GACGAACGCUGGCGGCGUGCUUAACACAUGCAAGUCGAACGGAAAGGCCCUGCUUUUGUGGGGUGCUCGAGUGGCGAACGGGUGAGUAACACGUGAGUAACCUGCCCUUGACUUUGGGAUAACUUCAGGAAACUGGGGCUAAUACCGGAUAGGAGCUCCUGCUGCAUGGUGGGGGUUGGAAAGUUUCGGCGGUUGGGGAUGGACUCGCGGCUUAUCCGCUUGUUGGUGGGGUAGUGGCUUACCAAGGCUUUGACGGGUAGCCGGCCUGAGAGGGUUACCGGCCACAUGGGGACUGAGGGACGGCCCAGACUCCUACGGGAGGCAGCAGUGGGGAAUAUUGCACAAUGGGCGGAAGCCUGAGGCAGCAACGCCGCGUGCGGGAUGACGGCCUUCGGGUUGUAAACCGCUUUCGCCUGUGACGAAGCGUGAGUGACGGUAAUGGGUAAAGAAGCACCGGCUAACUACGUG
rnacentral:rRNA from 1 species